rnacentral:rRNA from 1 species
GAUUAACGCUGGCGGCGUGCCUAACACAUGCAAGUCGAGCGGCAGCGAGUUUUACACUGAAUUCUGGAAGCUUCUAGUUGAAAGAGAAGAUUUAUUCAAGAAUUUUGUGUAAAAUGUCGGCGAGCGGCGGACGGCUGAGUAACGCGUGGGAACGUACCCCAAAGUGAGGGAUAACGCAUCGAAAGGUGUGCUAAUACCGCAUAUGGUCUUCGGAUUAAAGCCUUCGGGCGCUUUGGGAACGGCCUGCGUAAGAUUAGAUAGUUGGUGGGGUAAUGGCCUACCAAGUCGACGAUCUUUAACUGGUUUGAGAGGAUGAUCAGUCAGACUGGAACUGAGACACGGUCCAGACUCCUACGGGAGGCAGCAGUGAGGAAUCUUCCACAAUGGGCGAAAGCCUGAUGGAGCAACGCCGCGUGCAGGAUGAAGGCCUUCGGGUUGUAAACUGCUUUUAUAAGUGAGGAUUAUGACAGUAACUUAUGAGUAAGGAUCGGCUAACUACGUG